UACGUAGGGGGCAAGCGUUAUCCGGAUUUACUGGGUGUAAAGGGAGCGUAGACGGCUUUGCAAGCCAGAUGUGAAAGCCCGGGGCUCAACCCCGGGACUGCAUUUGGAACUGUGUGGAUAGAGUGUCGGAGAGGCAGGCGGAAUUCCUAGUGUAGCGGUGAAAUGCGUAGAUAUUAGGAGGAACACCAGUGGCGAAGGCGGCCUGCUGGACGAUGACUGACGUUGAGGCUCGAAAGCGUGGGGAGCAAACAGG
rnacentral:rRNA from 1 species